rnacentral:rRNA from 1 species
ACGGAAGGCAGCAGUGGGGAAUAUUGGGCAAUGGGGGAAACCCUGACCCAGCAACGCCGCGUGAAGGAAGAAGGCCUUCGGGUUGUAAACUUCUUUUACCAGGGACGAUAAUGACGGUACCUGGAGAAAAAGCAACGGCUAACUACGUGCCAGCAGCCGCGGUAAUACGUAGGUUGCAAGCGUUGUCCGGAUUUACUGGGUGUAAAGGGCGUGUAGGCGGAGCUGCAAGUCAGAUGUGAAAUCCCGGGGCUCAACCCCGGAACUGCAUUUGAAACUGUAGCCCUUGAGUAUCGGAGAGGCAAGCGGAAUUCCUAGUGUAGCGGUGUAAUGCGUAGAUAUUAGGAGGAACACCAGUGGCGAAGGCGGCUUGCUGGACGACAACUGACGCUGAGGCGCGAAAGCGUGGGGAGCAAACAGGAUUAGAUACCCUGGU